UACGUAGGGUGCAAGCGUUUAAUCGGAAUUACUGGGCGUAAAGCGUGCGCAGGCGGCUUUGCAAGACAGAUGUGAAAUCCCCGGGCUUAACCUGGGAACUGCAUUUGUGACUGCAUGGCUGGAGUGCGGCAGAGGGGGAUGGAAUUCCGCGUGUAGCAGUGAAAUGCGUAGAUAUGCGGAGGAACACCGAUGGCGAAGGCAAUCCCCUGGGCCUGCACUGACGCUCAUGCACGAAAGCGUGGGGAGCAAA
rnacentral:rRNA from 1 species